rnacentral:tRNA from 1 species
GGGCCCAUAGCUCAUCUGGUAGAGCGCCUGCUUUGCACGCAGGAGGUGGCAGGUUCGAGUCCUGUUGGGUCCACCA